rnacentral:rRNA from 1 species
GACGAACGCUGGCGGCGUGCCUAAUACAUGCAAGUUGAGCGCUGAAGGCUGGUACUUGUACCAACUGGAUGAGCAGCGAACGGGUGAGUAACGCGUGGGGCAUCUGCCUUUGAGCGGGGGACAACAUUUGGAAACGAAUGCUAAUACCGCAUAAAAACUUUAAACACAAGUUUUAAGUUUGAAAGAUGCAAUUGCAUCACUCAAAGAUGAUCCCGCGUUGUAUUAGCUAGUUGGUGAGGUAAAGACUCACCAAGGGGAGGAUACAUAGCCCAACUGAGAGGAUGAUCAGCCAGAUUGAGACUGUGACACGGCACAAAGUCACACGGGAGGCAGCAAGAGUGAUUCUUGGGCAAUGGGCGAAAGUCAGACCGAGAAACGCCGCGUGAGGGAAGAAGGUCUUCGGAUCGUAAAACUCGGUUGGUAGGGAAGAACGUGGGUGAGAGUGGAAAGCUCAGCAAGUGACGGUAACUACCCAGAAAGCGACGGCUAACUACGUG